ensembl:snoRNA
ACACCAGAGUAUUCAUAGUCCCCUCAAGCAUAAGAAUGCCCUCUAAAAGGUUUUCAGAAAAGCUGGCAAUAGUAAAGCCAUGUUACAAGCCUUAAAGACAUUGAAGUCAUUAAGGUCCCUGAAAAUGGCUAUAAGA